rnacentral:snRNA from 1 species
GUACUCACCUUGGCAGCACAUAUACUGAAAUUGGAAUGAUACAGAGAAGAUUAGCAUGGCGUCAGUGCACGGAUAACAAGAAACUUGUGAAGCAUUCCAUACUUUU